UACGUAGGGGGCAAGCGUUGUCCGGAUUUAUUGGGCGUAAAGAGCGUGUAGGCGGCCAGGUAGGUCCGUUGUGAAAACUCGAGGCUCAACCUCGAGACGUCGGCGGAAACCCUCUGGCUAGAGUCCGGAAGAGGAGAGUGGAAUUCCUGGUGUAGCGGUGAAAUGCGCAGAUAUCAGGAAGAACACCAAUGGCGAAGGCAGCUCUCUGGGACGGUACUGACGCCGAGACGCGAAAGCGUGGGGAGCGAACAGG
rnacentral:rRNA from 1 species